rnacentral:rRNA from 1 species
CCUACGUGAGUCUGCAGUGGGGAAUAUUGCACAAUGGGGGAAACCCUGAUGCAGCGACGCCGCGUGAGUGAAGAAGUAUCUCGGUACGUAAAGCUCUAUCAGCAGGGAAGAAAAUGACGGUCCCUGACUAAGACGCCCCGGCUAACUACGUGCCAGCAGCCGCGGUAAUACGUAGGGGGCAAGCGUUAUCCGGAUUUACGGGGUGUAAAGGGAGCGUAGACGGCAGCACAAGUCUGGAGUGAAAUCCCGGGGCGUAACCCCGGAAGUGCUUUGGAAACUGUGCGGCGGGAGUGCAGGAGGGGUAAGCGGAAUUCCUAGUGUAGCGGUGAAAUGCGUAGAUAUUAGGAGGAACACCGGUGGCGAAGGCGGCCUACUGGACUGUAACUGACGUUGAGGCUCGAAAGCGUGGGGAGCAAACAGGAUUAGAUACCCGAGUAGUC